rnacentral:rRNA from 1 species
GUAGCGAAAGCGAGUCUGAAUAGGGCGUUUAGUAUUUGGUCGUAGACCCGAAACCAGGUGAUCUACCCUUGGUCAGGUUGAAGUUCAGGUAACACUGAAUGGAGGACCGAACCGACUUACGUUGAAAAGUGAGCGGAUGAACUGAGGGUAGCGGAGAAAUUCCAAUCGAACCUGGAGAUAGCUGGUUCUCUCCGAAAUAGCUUUAGGGCUAGCCUCAAGUGAUGAUUAUUGGAGGUAGAGCACUGUUUGGACGAGGGGCCCCUCUCGGGUUACCGAAUUCAGACAAACUCCGAAUGCCAAUUAAUUUAACUUGGGAGUCAGAACAUGGGUGAUAAGGUCCGUGUUCGAAAGGGAAACAGCCCAGACCACCAGCUAAGGUCCCAAAAUAUAUGUUAAGUGGAAAAGGAUGUGGCGUUGCCCAGACAACUAGGAUGUUGGCUUAGAAGCAGCCAUCAUUUAAAGAGUGCGUAAUAGCUCACUAGUCGAGUGACACUGCGCCGAAAAUGUACCGGGGCUAAACAUAUUACCGAAGCUGUGGAUUGUCCUUUGGACAAUGGUAGGAGAGCGUUCUAAGG